CCACCGGAGCUUGCUCCAUCCGGAAAAAGAGGAGUGGCGAACGGGUGAGUAACACGUGGGUAACCUGCCCAUCAGAAGGGGAUAACACUUGGAAACAGGUGCUAAUACCGUAUAACAAUCAAAACCGCAUGGUUUUGAUUUGAAAGGCGCUUUCGGGUGUCGCUGAUGGAUGGACCCGCGGUGCAUUAGCUAGUUGGUGAGGUAACGGCUCACCAAGGCCACGAUGCAUAGCCGACCUGAGAGGGUGAUCGGCCACAUUGGGACUGAGACACGGCCCAAACUCCUACGGGAGGCAGCAGUAGGGAAUCUUCGGCAAUGGACGAAAGUCUGACCGAGCAACGCCGCGUGAGUGAAGAAGGUUUUCGGAUCGUAAAACUCUGUUGUUAGAGAAGAACAAGGAUGAGAGUAACUGUUCAUCCCUUGACGGUAUCUAACCAGAAAGCCACGGCUAACUACGUGCCAGCAGCCGCGGUAAUACGUAGGUGGCAAGCGUUGUCCGGAUUUAUUGGGCGUAAAGCGAGCGCAGGCGGUUUCUUAAGUCUGAUGUGAAAGCCCCCGGCUCAACCGGGGAGGGUCAUUGGAAACUGGGAGACUUGAGUGCAGAAGAGGAGAGUGGAAUUCCAUGGGU
rnacentral:rRNA from 1 species